AGAGUUUGAUCCUGGCUCAGAGCGAACGCUGGCGGCGUGCUUAACACAUGCAAGUCGAGUGCGCGGUAGCAAUACUGGCGCACGGCGCACGGGUGCGUAACACGUGGGUAAUCUACCCUCGAGUGGGGAAUAACCCGCCGAAAGGCGGGCUAAUACCGCAUGACAUUCCGCGGACUUCGGUCUGGGGAAUCAAAGUCCGCAAGGACGCUUGAGGAGGAGCCCGCGGCCGAUUAGCUAGUUGGCGGGGUAACGGCCCACCAAGGCAAUGAUCGGUAGCUGGUCUGAGAGGACGGCCGGCCACACUGGAACUGAGACACGGUCCAGACUCCUACGGGAGGCAGCAGUGGGGAAUCUUGCGCAAUGGGCGAAAGCCUGACGCAGCGACGCCGCGUGGGGGACGAAGCCCUUCGGGGUGUAAACCCCUUUCGACCCGGACGAAGUCCCGCAAGGGACGGACGGUACGGGAUGAAGAAGCCCCGGCUAACUACGUGCCAGCAGCCGCGGUAAGACGUAGGGGGCCAGCGUUGCUCGGAAUGACUGGGCGUAAAGAGUCUGUAGGCGGUGCGGCAAGUCGGGAGUGAAAUCUCAGGGCUUAACUCUGAGUCUGCUUUCGAAACUGCCGUGCUCGAGUGUGGGAGAGGUGAGUGGAAUUGCAGGUGUAGCGGUGAAAUGCGUAGAUAUCUGCAGGAACACCAGAGGCGAAGGCGGCUCACUGGACCACAACUGACGCUGAGAGACGAAAGCUAGGGGAGCAAACAGGAUUAGAUACCCCCGUAGUCC
rnacentral:rRNA from 1 species